UAUGUAUCAUAAAUCAAGUGUAAAAAUGGACUGAAAUCAUUCAUCAUCAUCAUCACCUAUAUUGAAGGUUUUUAAAUAAAUUAUUAGAAAACGAAUAAUGGUGUAAUUAUGUCAUAUUAGUAAAGUUAGUUCAUUAACUUAAAUGUUGAAGAAAAUGUAUUUAUAUCGUUUAUUAGAAGAUAUAAAAAGGGACCCAGUAAUGGAUUAGUUCAAUUAUAACAAUAAUUUGUCAAGUUCAACAAAAUAUUGUUAAGAUAACAGAACUAUGUGAAUGAUGAACUGAAAAGAGAUUAGACUACUGAAGAUACCAAUUUAAAUAUUGAAAAAUAUUUAUCAGUUUUCAAGAAAUUCUCGUGUAUCCUGUUCAAGAACAGAUCAUUGAAUGACCCAGAUUUGGUAAUAUUUUCCUUUUUUUUUUUAUUAUAUAAUUUUGAAAAUAUACAACAUUUUAGAGAAAAAUUACUUCC